rnacentral:lncRNA from 1 species
GCAGAACAAGCUGUGCUGGAGUAGACCCAGUGUCCCUGCCGACCAGAGCUGCCUCUGGCAGGGGAGACCUGGCAACAACAAGGAACUGCCAGCACCUGCUCAGCCAGGGGAGGUGCUCCAGGACAGGGCUGAAGACCAUGGGCACAGCACUACUGUGCUAUGCUUUUUCUGCAUAUAACCAACCAGCAGUAGUCUGCCCAGCUUGCACUGUUAUGCUGUAUUUCUGAAAAAAGAAAAACCAAAAAAAGAAGAAAAAAAAAAGAGCAAUCUGCUUUCAGGGCUUCCGUGUUUUCCUUCAGCAUGCAGUUAAGUCAAGUUACCUACAAAAGCUGAGACAUAAGCCUCUGUUACUAGUGACACAGGACAGGUCUAAUUCCCUUUCCAGCUCAGCCCCCAGGGACCAUGGUUUGCCAUGAGUAACUAAUACAGCAGCUUUGGAGCCUAGUUCUUCUCUCAUUUAUGUCAGGCAUGAGAUUGAAGACAAUGACUAAUCCCCAAGAACUGCAGCUCCAGAGAGAGCGGCACCUCCACAGAGACAGCCGCAACGAGGCCUCAGCAGAACACCAGCCCUGCCACAGAAAGCGCAGCUGGGAGAACUUCAUGCACAUAGGGAGCCAGAACCAUGGAGUCAACAGGAGGUCCUCCUUUCUGCCAUCGUUGAGCACCGAGGGCAGCUCCAUUACAACCAGCCCAACUGAAAGGCCCACACCGAAGACAGUCCUGAUGAUCAGAAGACUUAAUCUCCAGACAAAACAGAACCAAACUUCUAAGCGAUGUUCUUUUGGUUUGGGCCCCUCCACUUCAUCUAUGCUUACUGCUUAUGACAGAAGUAAAUGGAUAAACACAUGGCUAAUUUUUGGAGUCUCAAGAUAACUUCAAAAGACCAUUGUAUACCAUUGGAGGGAGAUCUCCGCCUACUCUUCACUAACAGAUCUGAAAUAUCCCCACUAGGACUGAUUUGUAAUCACUGCAAAAGAUCAACCUUCAAAGUAGUUUUAUAUCAGUGAAAACAGAUAGAUAUCAACAUGUUGAGAUGACUGGAAACUAUGUUGAAAUAACUCAAGAAGUACUGCCCAGUAUUUCCUCUCUUUUCUGGUUUGGGGUGACCUUGUAGAUACUAAAAUAAAGCAAUAGAAAGCCUGUGAGAAGAACCA